AACGAACGCUGGCGGCAGGCUUAACACAUGCAAGUCGAACGCCCCGCAAGGGGAGUGGCCGACGGGUGAGUACCGCGUGGGAAUCUACCCAUCCCUACGGAAUAACGCAUGGAAACGUGUGCUAAUACCGUAUACGCCCUACGGGGGAAAGAUUUAUCGGGGAUGGAUGAGCCCGCGUUGGAUUAGCUAGUUGGUGGGGUAAAGGCCUACCAAGGCGACGAUCCAUAGCUGGUCUGAGAGGAUGAUCAGCCACAUUGGGACUGAGACACGGCCCAAACUCCUACGGGAGGCAGCAGUGGGGAAUAUUGGACAAUGGGCGCAAGCCUGAUCCAGCCAUGCCGCGUGAGUGAUGAAGGCCUUAGGGUUGUAAAGCUCUUUCACCGGAGAAGAUAAUGACGGUAUCCGGAGAAGAAGCCCCGGCUAACUUCGUG
rnacentral:rRNA from 1 species